CAUUAUACAGCCCAAGGCGGCAUGCGGCAAAGCUCCAGGCGAGUAGCCGACCAACCGUCCUGCCCGUCCAGGUCCAGCAGUCCAGGAUUUCCCAACCCUAACUAGCAGCAGCUGCCGCCGUCGAGCACCAGUCCAUGGUCUGCCAUGGCGCCGUCCUGACACUGCCGCCGUCGAGCAGCUACCACAGCGUCGCCCUCGGGGUUCAUCGUGUUGCGCUUCGUGGCGGGUCUCUUCCUCGCCAACUUCGUCGCCAGCCAGCACUGGAUGUCGGGCAUCUUUGCACCCUCCAUCAUCGGGCUCGCCAACGCCGUCACGGCUCGCUGACUAGUGUAAAUUCCAGGAUUCAGAUUGUCCAACGAUGCAGAGCAUCACGCUCUAAUUGGUCUCUAGCUUUCGGCAUCUAACGAACCUUCUCAACUGCAGACUCUUGAUAUCAGUUACUGUAAGAACCUAGAAUCCUUGUUGGCACUCGAAUAUCUUUGUUCUAUUGGAAGCUUAUAUAUUGCCCAUUGUCAUAAAUGUAUUGUUCUGUGUUAAGAAAAACUUUUGUUUAGGCCUCAAAAUAUAUUAAUUGAUCACUGCCCUGGUCUGAUCAAAUGGUGUGAUGAGCAAGAGCUCUUCUGUCAGGUGAGGUCUUAUGUUCUUCUAAAUUUUUUAUUUUAACAUUAGUCCAUUGUCUUGUGUUCUCGCAAUAGUUUUUCAGUACCAUACUGCAUAAAAGGUAUAGUCCAUUGUCUGCCAAGGGUUUCUUAAAAUUUGAAAUGUUUAAAUAUUUUAUUCUUGGUAUUGUGCUACAUAGGUUAGCAAUAUUUAAAGAAUAAUUGUUUGUUGGGACAGGAAUAUCUUUGUUCUCUCGGAAGCUUGUAUAUUGCAUUGGUUAGCAAGUUUUAAAAGGUAUAGUCCAUUCGUCUCUUCGAUAGCAGGAUAAGUGAUUCCAAUGCAUGUAGAUCACAUACAAACAACACUUUAAAAUAUACAAAUAUAUAUAUAUACAAGUUUUACAUGCUAAAACACGUUUGUUGUUCUGAAACAAAGUAUUCAAACCAACUUCAACAAUGAUACUACAACGACCUCCUACAACAUUUAUUGCUCUUCGUUUUUAUAUUGUUAUGGAUAUGGAAUUAAUUAGGAAAGAAACGACUUCAAUGACAGAGCUAGGGGUGGCCAGCGGUGGCUAGGCCCUUGCUACUACCGCACUGCACAUGUUUUUUUUGCUACAUUGAUUAUGUGACACAGUCCUUGCCAAAGUGGUGGGUUCUUGCUUGUAGCAUUCCUGAUUCCCUGAUCUUUUGUUACUUCACUUCUUGUUUUCUUGACCCUACCAAAGUCGAUCUGAGUAAGCUAUUGCCUAGCAAAGGAAGCUUCUAUCCCCUGGUUAGAUGAUGUUUCCUUUCCUCAACUCUGUUAGGCUAUUGUUGCAUUCAGACAGUAUUUUAAUUCCCAUAUAAGCGUACAUUGGCUAUAUUGACUUUGUAAAUCUCACAAGGGUAAGCAUAACUAAACUAAAAAGUAAAUUUGAGCGAUUCAGAUAUAGUAAAAAAGUGGCGAUAUGAUGCCGGUUGGCAUCCUUUUUAGUAUAUAUAGUAUGAAAUAUCCUCAUUGUGGGACUGAUAAUUUAAGUGGUGAGAUAUCUUCUGUCUCAUUUCAAAAUGUUAUUUUCCAUCAAAAAAGGGUAUAUGGCAAAAUUAUUAUUAUUAUGAAAAAUGUUGUUUUGGAUGUGAUUAACAAUGAAUAUUGUAAACGUGAAAUAAAUCUUUCAGGUAUGGUCAUUACACUCCAGAUGGAACUGGUUAUUUUCUUUCUUCACAACAUCAACGAACAUAGCAACUACAUUCUGUCGUGUCGGCACCUGGAUCCAUCACGGGCGAGGAGGCUGAAUAGGAGGGUGGAGGAGGCGAGUCGCGUGCUGUCUGAUUCCUUCGUUAUCUUCUGUGUUUUUUCCUAGAACAAGGUUUCCUCUCCGGUAUUAUUUUUGGCCAAAAGAUGAUUAGAUGGGCUGCUGGAGACGGGAGGAGGCGACGGUCUGUGUGUUUUCCCCUGAUCUAUUUGUGUACUCUAACUGCAGAAGAACAAAUGGGAGUUCUUCAUGUUCCUCACUCUAGAAGUUUUUGUAAUGAUCAUUACUAGCUUUGCUACUGCUGUUAUUAUAAGUAAUGACUUGAGUCCUUUUAGCUUAAUUAUCACACUAGAAUCUAUUAUUGAUCCA